AGAGUUUGAUCAUGGCUCAGAUUGAACGUUGGCGGCAGGCUUAACACAUGCAAGUCGAACGAGAAAGUACCUUCGGGUAUGAGUACAGUGGCGGACGGGUGAGUAACGCGUAGGAAUCUACCUAGUAGCGGGGGAUAACUUGGGGAAACUCAAGCUAAUACCGCAUACGCUCUACGGAGGAAAGGGGCCCUCUCCUUGGAAGGUCUCACUAUUAGAGGAGCCUGCGUUGGAUUAGCUAGUUGGUGGGGUAAAGGCCCACCAAGGCGACGAUCUAUAGCUGGUCUGAGAGGACGAUCAGCCACACCGGAACUGAGACACGGUCCGGACUCCUACGGGAGGCAGCAGUGGGGAAUCUUGGGCAAUGGGCGAAAGCCUGACCCAGCCAUGCCGCGUGUGUGAAAAGGCCUUAGGGUUGUAAAGCACUUUCAGCAGCGAAGAAAUACGACAGGCUAAUACCCUGUUGUUUUGACGUUAACUGCAGAAGAAGCACCGGCUAACUCCGUGCCAGCAGCCGCGGUAAUACGGAGGGUGCGAACGUUAAUCGGAGUUACUGGGCGUAAAGCGCGCGUAGGCGGAUAGGUAAGUGGGAUGUGAAAGCCCUGGGCUCAACCUGGGAACUGCAUUCCAAACUGCUUACCUAGAGUUUGGUAGAGGGAGGUGGAAUUUCCUGUGUAGCGGUGAAAUGCGUAGAUAUAGGAAGGAACACCAGUGGCGAAGGCGGCCUCCUGGACCAAAACUGACGCUGAGGUGCGAAAGCGUGGGGAGCAGACAGGAUUAGAUACCCUGGUAGUCCACGCCGUAAACGAUGAGAACUAGCCGUUGGGCCCCUUGAGGGUUUAGUGGCGAAGCUAACCGAUAAGUUCUCCGCCUGGGGAGUACGGCCGCAAGGUUAAAACUCAAAUGAAUUGACGGGGGCCCGCACAAGCGGUGGAGCAUGUUGUUUAAUUCGAUGCAACGCGAAGAACCUUACCACCCCUUGACAUCCUGCGAACUUUCUAGAGAUAGAUUGGUGCCUUCGGGAACGCAGUGACAGGUGCUGCAUGGCUGUCGUCAGCUCGUGUCGUGAGAUGUUGGGUUAAGUCCCGUAACGAGCGCAACCCUUGUCCUUAUUUGCCAGCGAGUAAUGUCGGGAACUCUAAGGAGACUGCCGGUGACAAACCGGAGGAAGGUGGGGAUGACGUCAAGUCAUCAUGGCCCUCACGGGGUGGGCUACAAACGUGCUACAAUGGUCGGUACAAAGGGCUGCAAACCAGCGAUGGUAAGCUAAUCCCAAAAAACCGAUCGUAGUCCGGAUAGGAGUCUGCAACUCGACUCCUUGAAGUCGGAAUCGCUAGUAAUCGCGGAUCAGAAUGCCGCGGUGAGUACGUUCCCGGGCCUUGUACACACCGCCCGUCACGUCAUGGGAGUGGAUUGCACCAGAAGUAGCUAGUCUAACCUUCGGGAGGACGGUUACCACGGUGUGGUUCAUGACUGGGACGAAGUCGGAACAAGGUA
rnacentral:rRNA from 1 species